rnacentral:rRNA from 1 species
GUGCCAGCAGCCGCGGUAAUACGUAGGUGACAAAUGUUAUCCGGAAUCACUGGGCGUAAAGGGUCUGUAGGCGGUUACUUAGGUCUGAUGUGACAACUCGCGGCUUAACUGCGAGAGCGCAUUGGAAACCGGGUGACUAGAAUCACGUCGAGGUCGGUGGAAUUCCCGGUGUAGUGGUGGAAUGCGUAGAGAUCGGGAGGAACCUCGAAAGCGAAGGCAGCCGGCUAGACGAUGAUUGACGCUGAGGGACGAUAGCGUGGGUAGCAAACAGGAUUAGAUACCCUGGUAGUCC